AACGAACGCUGGCGGCAGGCCUAACACAUGCAAGUCGAGCGCCCCGCAAGGGGAGCGGCGGACGGGUGAGUAACGCGUGGGAACGUACCCUUUGCUACGGAAUAGCCUCGGGAAACUGGGAGUAAUACCGUAUGUGCCCUUCGGGGGAAAGAUUUAUCGGCAAAGGAUCGGCCCGCGUUGGAUUAGGUAGUUGGUGGGGUAAUGGCCUACCAAGCCGACGAUCCAUAGCUGGUUUGAGAGGAUGAUCAGCCACACUGGGACUGAGACACGGCCCAGACUCCUACGGGAGGCAGCAGUGGGGAAUCUUAGACAAUGGGCGCAAGCCUGAUCUAGCCAUGCCGCGUGAGCGAUGAAGGCCUUAGGGUUGUAAAGCUCUUCAGUGGGGAAGAUAAUGACUGUACCCACAGAAGAAGCCCGGCUAACUCCGUG
rnacentral:rRNA from 1 species